rnacentral:rRNA from 1 species
GCCAUGCGAGUCGAGAGGGUUCGGCCCUCGGCUGACGGCUCAGUAACACGUGGAUAAUCUGCCCUUAGGUGGAGGAUAACCUCGGGAAACUGAGAAUAAUACUCCAUAGGUCUAGGAUGCUGGAAUGUACUUAGACUAAAAACUCCGGUGCCUAAGGAUGGAUCUGCGGACUAUCAGGUUGUAGUCAGGGUAACGACCUGACUAGCCUACGACGGAUAUGGGUUGUGGGAGCAAUAACCCAGAGAUGAUAUCUGAGACACGAUAUCAGGCCCUACGGGGCGCAGCAGGCGCGAAAACUUCACACUGUGCGAAAGCACGAUGAGGGAAUCCCAAGUGCUUGCACGUAAGUGUAAGCUGUUUCUCUGUCUAAAACGCAGAGAGAGUAAGGGCUGGGUAAGACGGGUGCCAGCCGCCGCGGUAAUACCUGCAGCUCAAGUGGUGACCGUUAUUAUUGGGCCUAAAACGUCCGUAGCCGGUUUAUUAAAUGCCUGGGUAAAUCGUGUAGCUUAACUAUACGAAUUCCGGGUAGACUGAUAAACUUGAGACCGGGAGAAGUUAGAGGUACUCCUAGGGUAGAGGUGAAAUUCUGUAAUCCUAGGGGGACCACCAGUGGCGAAGGCGUCUAACUAGAACGGGUCUGACGGUGAGGGACGAAGCCCUGGGGCGCAAACGGGAUUAGAUACCCCGGUAGUCCAGGGUGUAAACGCUGCUUGCUUGAUGUUAGUCGGGCUCCGAGCCCGAUUAGUGUCGGAGAGAAGUUGUUAAGCAAGCUGCCUGGGAAGUACGAUCGCAAGAUUGAAACUUAA